rnacentral:rRNA from 1 species
UACGAAGGGGGCUAGCGUUGCUCGGAAUCACUGGGCGUAAAGCGCACGUAGGCGGAUCUUUAAGUCAGGGGUGAAAUCUUGGAGCUCAACUCCAGAACUGCCUUUGAUACUGGGGAUCUCGAGUCCGGAAGAGGUGAGUGGAACUCCGAGUGUAGAGGUGAAAUUCGUAGAUAUUCGGAAGAACACCAGUGGCGAAGGCGGCUCACUGGUCCGGUACUGACGCUGAGGUGCGAAAGCGUGGGGAGCAAACAGG